CAGCCGCCACGGUAAUACGUAGGUCCCGAGCGUUGUCCGGAUUUAUUGGGCGUAAAGCGAGCGCAGGCGGUUAGAUAAGUCUGAAGUUAAAGGCUGUGGCUUAACCAUAGUACGCUUUGGAAACUGUUUAACUUGAGUGCAGAAGGGGAGAGUGGAAUUCCAUGUGUAGCGGUGAAAUGCGUAGAUAUAUGGAGGAACACCGGUGGCGAAAGCGGCUCUCUGGUCUGUAACUGACGCUGAGGCUCGAAAGCGUGGGGAGCGAACAGGAUUAGAUACCCCAGUAGUCCCUGUCUCUUAUACA
rnacentral:rRNA from 1 species